rnacentral:sRNA from 1 species
AUCUCGUCUCUCUAUAUGACAAGGGUGGUCGGCUAACCCCUAUCCGGAAGGGGGUGAUGCCUAUCGACGCAUAUCAAGUAAUCAUGGUGAUGUUUUCGUUUGGUAUGUUCGUCCUUUCGCUUCUUAGCUUUGUUGUGAAAAUUGUAACAGAGUUAUUAAAGCAUAAAAAAUAGACCUCCCUUCACACGUUUAUGCAGGAGAGGUCUAUUCAUAUGGGCCGAUCCUCUUAAGUAGAGAGAACGUAGAUCAUACGACCACAGUUGCAGCUGUGGUC